rfam:Picea glauca, whole genome shotgun sequence.
UCUUAUGUACAUGCCUACAACAUAGAGUUAAUGUACUGGAACCCAUUAAAACUUUACAGGUAAGUGUGCUCGGGCUAGAGUAGUACAAGGAUGGGUGACCGCCUGGGAAGUCCUAGUGUUUUACAUGCC